rnacentral:rRNA from 1 species
CGCGUAGGCGGCCUUCUAAGUCGAACGUGAAAUCCCCGGGCUCAACCCGGGAACUGCGUCCGAUACUGGAAGGCUUGAAUCCGGGAGAGGGAUGCGGAAUUCCAGGUGUAGCGGUGAAAUGCGUAGAUAUCUGGAGGAACACCGGUGGCGAAGGCGGCAUCCUGGACCGGCAUUGACGCUGAGGCGCGAAAGCCAGGGGAGCAAACG